rnacentral:rRNA from 1 species
GGGUGAGUAACACGUGAGCAACCUGCCCCUGACUCUGGGAUAAGCGCUGGAAACGGCGUCUAAUACCGGAUACGAAACGCAACCGCAUGGUUAGUGUUUGGAAAGAAUUUCGGUUGGGGAUGGGCUCGCGGCCUAUCAGCUUGUUGGUGAGGUAAUGGCUCACCAAGGCGUCGACGGGUAGCCGGCCUGAGAGGGUGACCGGCCACACUGGGACUGAGACACGGCCCAGACUCCUACGGGAGGCAGCAGUGGGGAAUAUUGCACAAUGGGCGAAAGCCUGAUGCAGCAACGCCGCGUGAGGGACGACGGCCUUCGGGUUGUAAACCUCUUUUAGCAAGGAAGAAGCGAAAGUGACGGUACUUGCAGAAAAAGCGCCGGCUAACUACGUGCCAGCAGCCGCGGUAAUACGUAGGGCGCAAGCGUUAUCCGGAAUUAUUGGGCGUAAAGAGCUCGUAGGCGGUUUGUCGCGUCUGCUGUGAAAUCUGGGGGCUCAACCCCCAGCCUGCAGUGGGUACGGGCAGACUAGAGUGCGGUAGGGGAGAUUGGAAUUCCUGGUGUAGCGGUGGAAUGCGCAGAUAUCAGGAGGAACACCGAUGGCGAAGGCAGAUCUCUGGGCCGUAACUGACGCUGAGGAGCGAAAGGGUGGGGAGCAAACAGGCUUAGAUACCCUGGUAGUCCACCCCGUAAACGUUGGGAACUAGUUGUGGGGUCCAUU